rnacentral:rRNA from 4 species
UUAAGUUAGAAAGGGCGCACGGUGAAUGCCUUGGCACUAGGAGCCGAUGAAGGACGGGACUAACACCGAUAUGCUUCGGGGAGCUGUAAGUGAGCUUUGAUCCGGAGAUUUCCGAAUGGGGAAACCCACUGUUCGUAAUGGAACAGUAUCUUUAUCUGAAUACAUAGGAUAUUGAAGGCAGACCCGGGGAACUGAAACAUCUAAGUACCCGGAGGAAGAGAAAGCAAAUGCGAUUUCCUGAGUAGCGGCGAGCGAAACGGAAUUAGCCCAAACCAAGAGGCUUGCCUCUUGGGGUUGUAGGACACUCUAUACGGAGUUACAAAGGAACGAAGUAAAUGAAGCGACCUGGAAAGGUCCGUCGAAGAAGGUAACAACCCUGUAGUUGAAACUUCGUUCCCUCUUGAGUGGAUCCUGAGUACGGCGGAACACGUGAAAUUCCGUCGGAAGCUGGGAGGACCAUCUCCCAAGGCUAAAUACUACCUAGUGACCGAUAGUGAACCAGUACCGUGAGGGAAAGGUGAAAAGCACCCCGGAAGGGGAGUGAAAGAGAUCCUGAAACCGUGUGCCUACAAGUAGUCAGAGCCCGUUAACGGGUGAUGGCGUGCCUUUUGUAGAAUGAACCGGCGAGUUACGAUCCCAUGCAAGGUUAAGCUGAUAAGGCGGAGCCGUAGCGAAAGCAAGUCUGAAUAGGGCGUUUAGUAUGUGGUUGUAGACCCGAAACCAGGUGAUCUACCCAUGUCCAGGGUGAAGUUCAGGUAACACUGAAUGGAGGCCCGAACCCACGCACGUUGAAAAGUGCGGGGAUGAGGUGUGGGUAGCGGAGAAAUUCCAAUCGAACCUGGAGAUAGCUGGUUCUCUCCGAAAUAGCUUUAGGGCUAGCCUCAUGUUGUGAGAGUCUUGGAGGUAGAGCACUGAUUGGACUAGGGGCCCCCAACGGGUUACCGAAUUCAGUCAAACUCCGAAUGCCAAAGACUUAUCCAUGGGAGUCAGACUGCGAGUGAUAAGAUCCGUAGUCAAAAGGGAAACAGCCCAGACCACCAGCUAAGGUCCCCAAGUAUACGUUAAGUGGAAAAGGAUGUGGAGUUGCUUAGACAACCAGGAUGUUGGCUUAGAAGCAGCCACCAUUUAAAGAGUGCGUAAUAGCUCACUGGUCGAGUGACUCUGCGCCGAAAAUGUACCGGGGCUAAACGUAUCACCGAAGCUGUGGAUUGACAUCUUUGAUGUCAGUGGUAGGAGAGCGUUCUAAGUGCUGUGAAGUCAGACCGUAAGGACUGGUGGAGCGCUUAGAAGUGAGAAUGCCGGUAUGAGUAGCGAAAGACAAGUGAGAAUCUUGUCCACCGAAUGCCUAAGGUUUCCUGAGGAAGGCUCGUCCGCUCAGGGUUAGUCGGGACCUAAGCCGAGGCUGAAAAGCGUAGGCGAUGGCCAACAGGUUGAUAUUCCUGUACCACCUCCCCGCCGUUUGAGUAAUGGGGGGACGCAGUAGGAUAGGGUAAGCGCGCUGCUGGAUAUGCGCGUUCAAGCAGUUAGGCUGAUGAGUAGGCAAAUCCGCUCAUCAUGAAGGCUGAGCUGUGAUGACGAGGGAAUUAUAGUACCGAAGUUCCUGAUUCCACACUGCCAAGAAAAGCCUCUAGCGAGGCGGGAGGUGCCCGUACCGCAAACCGACACAGGUAGGCGAGGAGAGAAUCCUAAGGUGAUCGAGAGAACUCUCGUUAAGGAACUCGGCAAAAUGACCCCGUAACUUCGGGAGAAGGGGUGCUCUGGUAGGGUGUAUAGCCCGAGAGAGCCGCAGUGAAUAGGCCCAGGCGACUGUUUAGCAAAAACACAGGUCUCUGCGAAGCCGCAAGGCGAAGUAUAGGGGCUGACGCCUGCCCGGUGCUGGAAGGUUAAGAGGAGGGGUUAUCCUUUGGGAGAAGCUCUGAAUCGAAGCCCCAGUAAACGGCGGCCGUAACUAUAACGGUCCUAAGGUAGCGAAAUUCCUUGUCGGGUAAGUUCCGACCCGCACGAAAGGCGUAACGAUCUGGGCACUGUCUCAACGAGAGACUCGGUGAAAUUAUAGUACCUGUGAAGAUGCAGGUUACCCGCGACAGGACGGAAAGACCCCGUGGAGCUUUACUGUAGCCUGAUAUUGAAUUUUGGUACAGCUUGUACAGGAUAGGUAGGAGCCUGAGAAGCCGGAGCGCUAGCUUCGGUGGAGGCGUCGGUGGGAUACUACCCUGGCUGUAUUGAAAUUCUAACCCGCGGCCCUGAUCGGGCCGGGAGACAGUGUCAGGUGGGCAGUUUGACUGGGGCGGUCGCCUCCUAAAAUGUAACGGAGGCGCCCAAAGGUUCCCUCAGAAUGGUUGGAAAUCAUUCGUAGAGUGUAAAGGCACAAGGGAGCUUGACUGCGAGACCUACAAGUCGAGCAGGGACGAAAGUCGGGCUUAGUGAUCCGGUGGUUCCGCAUGGAAGGGCCAUCGCUCAACGGAUAAAAGCUACCCCGGGGAUAACAGGCUUAUCUCCCCCAAGAGUCCACAUCGACGGGGAGGUUUGGCACCUCGAUGUCGGCUCAUCGCAUCCUGGGGCUGUAGUCGGUCCCAAGGGUUGGGCUGUUCGCCCAUUAAAGCGGUACGCGAGCUGGGUUCAGAACGUCGUGAGACAGUUCGGUCCCUAUCCGUCGUGGGCGUAGGAAAUUUGAGAGGAGCUGUCCUUAGUACGAGAGGACCGGGAUGGACACACCGCUGGUGUACCAGUUGUCUUGCCAAAGGCAUCGCUGGGUAGCUAUGUGUGGACGGGAUAAGUGCUGAAAGCAUCUAAGCAUGAAGCCCCCCUCAAGAUGAGAUUUCCCAUAGCGCAAGCUAGUAAGAUCCCUGAAAGAUGAUCAGGUUGAUAGGUCAGAGGUGGAAGCGUGGCGACAUGUGUAGCUGACUGAUACUAAUCGAUCGAGGACUUAACCAA